UACGUAGGUCCCGAGCGUUGUCCGGAUUUAUUGGGCGUAAAGGGAACGCAGGCGGUCUUUUAAGUCUGAUGUGAAAGCCUUCGGCUUAACCGGAGUAGUGCAUUGGAAACUGGGAGACUUGAGUGCAGAAGAGGAGAGUGGAACUCCAUGUGUAGCGGUGAAAUGCGUAGAUAUAUGGAAGAACACCAGUGGCGAAAGCGGCUCUCUGGUCUGUAACUGACGCUGAGGCACGAAAGCGUGGGGAGCAAAUAGG
rnacentral:rRNA from 1 species